ACCUGCUUCAACCUGUUUAUCAGCCAUUGAUUGGGUGCUUCCUAUCCAUCCAUCCGUUUUCUUUGCCGCUUAUCCGCACGAGGGUCGCAUGGAGUGCUGGAGCCUAUCCCGGCUGUCAACGGGCAGGAGGCGUGGUACACCCUGAACUGGUCGCCAGCCAAUCGCAAGGCACAUCGGGACAAAUACCCGCGCUCACAAUUGCACCUAUGGGCAAUUUAGUGUCCAAUUAAUGUUGCAUGUUUUUGGGAUGUGGGAGGAAACCAGAGUGCCCGGGGAAAACCCACACAGGCACGGGGACAACAUGCAAACUCCACACAGGCGGGGCCGUGAUCGAACCCGGGACCUCAGAACUGUGAGGCCAACGCUUUACCAGCUGACCCACCGUGGCGCCUCUUCAAAUAAAUAUGUCAUGUCAUUAUCCAAGCCGCUUAUCCUCACAAGGGUUGCCUGAGCCUAUCCCAACUAGCUUUGGUCGAAAGGCGGACUACACCCUGAAAAGCUCGCCGGCCGGUCGCAGGGCAGAUACCGACACCAUCACUGAGCGGGAAUCGAUCCCACGCUGCCCGCACCAAAGGCAGGCGUGUGUACCGCUACCCCAUCAGUGACUCCUCAAAUAAAUAUUGUGUAUUGAAAUGAAUUCAAAUGGCAUUAACUCGCUCCAGCAGGAAGCAACCCCCAUUUUUUUUUCUAGGAAACUGUAUUUUAAUGCUUAUUUGAUGCAUUCUACAGCUAAAAAGUAAUAAUAGGUGUCAAUUAUUAACAGAUUUUUUUUACUAUUCACGGUUAGGAAAGCUCCCAAAUAACAACAGUCGACUGUUUGUUGUUUAGAUUUGUAUUUUGAGCGGCCAUGUUGUCUUGCUUUUGAAUGGCCACGCCCUCCCGCACACCUGAGCGCAAAUGAACAGCAGCUGCCGAUUGGCGCAAGGGGGGGACCGCUUAAAUAGAGCCGACGUGUUGUCGCUCACUACGCGCAGCGCCGGGCCGCAGGAUCAAGCUGAAGUUGCGAAAGCCAAGCAAGCGCUGCAGGACUCGGCGAUCACCAUGGCGAUGCUCUGUGACUUGUGUGUGAGGGUGCUUGUUCUCUUGCUGAUUGGCUUCGGUCUCCAUGCAAAUGGGGGUGGUUCUCACCAUCGUAGUUUUGCAGCCCCUCGAAGUCAAUCAACUCGAUGGGAUCCACAGCAAUACAGACCACGUGAGUCCCACUCGCAGUUUUUUGCUGCCGCGCCCGCGUCUGGACAGUACGGCGAAAGUUCACCCCAGGGAGGUCCGGUUGUCGGGGCCGGGGCUCGGUCGUUCUCCCCAGUAAAAAGCGUCUGCCCCGUCUGUCCUCAUUGCCCCGAGCACGUUUCUUGCCCGCUGCCCGGCCAUUGCCCUCCGCCGCACUGCAAACGCGGCUAUCGCCCUUGCCCUUGCCGGCCGUCUUGCUGCAAGCCGUCUCGUGUGUGUCGCCCUUGGUAUCCUUGGUAGGAACCUCCGUGUCUGAGCAGGUUAUCUGCCAUUGAUUGGGUGCUUCCCUAUGCAGCGACUAUUUAAUAAAUGUCAUGAAAUUCAA